rnacentral:rRNA from 1 species
AUGGACGCAGGCUCCGAGAUCGUGUACGAGAUGCCCGGGUUCAUACGCAUCCACAAGAGCGGCCGCGUGGAGCGCUUGCAAGGCACCGAGACCGUCCCUCCCUGCCCCUCCGGUGACCCCGCCAACGGCGUCGCCUCCAAGGACGUCGUCCUUGACCCGGCGGCCAACGUCUCCGCCCGUCUCUACCUCCCCGCCGCCGGCGCGGCGGAGCCUGGAAAGAAGUUCCCCGUUGUCGUCUACUUCCACGGUGGCGCGUUCGUUGUCCACACAGCGGCCUCACCGAUCUACCACAAGUACGCCGCCUCCCUCGCCGCCGCGGCGCCCGCCGUCGUCGUCUCCGUCGACUACCGUCUCGCUCCGGAGCACCCCCUCCCGGCCGCGUACGACGACGCCUUCGCGGCCCUCAAGGCGGUCGUCGCCGCGUGCCGCCCGGACGGCGCCGAGCCCUGGCUCGCCGCGCACGGCGACGCCUCCCGCGUCGUCCUCGCCGGCGAUAGUGCCGGCGCCAACAUGGCGCACAACACGGCGAUGAGGCUCCGGAAGGAUGGCAUCGAGGGCUACGGCGACAAGGUCAGCGGUGUCGCGCUCUUGCAUUCCUACUUCUGGGGGACUGAACCGGUGGGCGGCGAGUCCCCGGACGCCGCCUUCUUUUACCCCGGCGACGUGGAGCGCGUGUGGGAUGUGGCCUGUGGUGACAAGUUCGGCCGUGAUCACCCGUACAUCAACCCGGCGGCGUCGCCGGAGGAGUGGCGCCAGCUCGGGUCCGGCCGCGUGCUGGUCACCACGGCGGAGUUGUGCUGGUUCGUGGAGAGGGCGCGCGCGUACGCGGAAGGGAUCAAGGCGUGCGGGUGGGCCGGCGAGCUCGAGUUCUACGAGACCAAGGGCGAGAGUCACACCUACUUCCUGUUCAAUCCCGACUGCGACGAUGCCGCCAAGGAGCUCGCCGUCGUGGCCGACUUCGUCAGGCGCUGCUGA